rnacentral:rRNA from 1 species
CAAGUCGUGGGGCAGCAGGUCCGUAGCAAUACGGAUGCUGGCGACCGGCAAACGGGUGCGGAACACGUACACAACCUUCCUUUAAGUGGGGAAUAGCCCGGGGAAACCCGGAUUAAUACCCCGUAAUAUAAUGAAGUGGCAUCGCUUUAUUAUUAUAGCAGCAAUGCGCUUGAAGAUGGGUGUGCGACUGAUUAGGCAGUUGGCGGGGUAACGGCCCACCAAACCUACGAUCAGUAACUGGUGUGAGAGCACGACCAGUCACACGGGCACUGAGACACGGGCCCGACUCCUACGGGAGGCAGCAGUAAGGAAUAUUGGUCAAUGGACGCAAGUCUGAACCAGCCAUGCCGCGUGGAGGAUGAAGGUCCUCUGGAUUGUAAACUUCUUUUAUCUGGGAAGAAAUCCAUGAAUUCUUUUGUGGUUGACGGUACCAGAUGAAUAAGCACCGGCUAACUCCGUGCCAGCAGCCGCGGUAAUACGGAGGGUGCAAGCGUUAUCCGGAUUCACUGGGUUUAAAGGGUGCGUAGGUGGGCAGGUAAGUCAGUGGUGAAAUCUCCGGGCUUAACUCGGAAACUGCCAUUGAUACUAUCUGUCUUGAAUACCGUGGAGGUCAGCGGAAUAUGUCAUGUAGCGGUGAAAUGCUUAGAUAUGACAUAGAACACCAAUUGCGAAGGCAGCUGGCUACACGAAUAUUGACACUGAUGCACGAAAGCGUGGGGAUCAAACAGGAUUAGAUACCCUGGUAGUCCACGCCCUAAACGAUGGAUACUCGACAUACGCGAUAUACUGUGUGUGUCUGAGC